CAGCAGCCGCGGGAAUACGAAGGGUGCAAGCGUUAAUCGGAAUUACUGGGCGUAAAGCGUGCGUAGGCGGUGAGUUAAGUCUGCUGUGAAAUCCCCGGGCUCAACCUGGGGAUGGCAGUGGAUACUGGCUCGCUAGAGUGUGUCAGAGGAUGGUGGAAUUCCCGGUGUAGCGGUGAAAUGCGUAGAGAUCGGGAGGAACAUCAGUGGCGAAGGCGGCCAUCUGGGACAACACUGACGCUGAGGCACGAAAGCGUGGGGAGCAAACAGGAUUAGAUACCCGAGUAGUCCCUGUCUCUUAUAC
rnacentral:rRNA from 1 species